GAGCGGUAGUUCAGUUGGUUAGAAUACCGGCCUGUCACGCCGGGGGUCGCGGGUUCGAGUCCCGUCCGCUCCGCCA
rnacentral:tRNA from 4 species